rnacentral:rRNA from 1 species
GACGAACGCUGGCGGCGUGCUUAACACAUGCAAGUCGAACGGUGAAGCGCCUUCCUUUUUGGUGGGUGUGGAUGAGUGGCGAACGGGUGAGUAACACGUGAGUAACCUGCCCCCUUCUUCUGGAUAACCGCAUGAAAGUGUGGCUAAUACGGGAUAUUCUGGGUCUGUCGCAUGAUGGGUCUGGGAAAGAUAUUGUUUCGGUGGGGGAUGGGCUCGCGGCCUAUCAGCUUGUUGGUGGGGUGAUGGCCUACCAAGGCGGUGACGGGUAGCCGGCCUGGGAGGGUGGCCGGUCACACUGGGGCUGAGACACGGCCACGACUCCUACGGGAGGCAGCAGUGGGGAAUAUUGCACAAUGGGCGCAAGCCUGAUGCAGCGACGCCGCGUGCGGGAUGGAGGCCUUCGGGUUGUGAACCUCUUUCGCCAGUGAAGCAGGCCUGCCUCGUUUGUGGGUGGGUUGACGGUAGCUGGAUAAGAAGCGCCGGCUAACUACGUG